rnacentral:ncRNA from 1 species
ACCUGACUGUUGUAUAAUCAACAGACACUAGCCAAGACAGGAGACAAACAUG